GAUGAACGCUGGCGGCGUGCUUAACACAUGCAAGUCGAACGGAGAAAGGGUAGCUUGCUAUCUUUUCUUAGUGGCGGACGGGUGAGUAACGCGUGGGUAACCUGCCCUUUGCAGGGGGAUAACAGUGAGAAAUCACUGCUAAUACCGCAUACCAACUUCUUUCGCAUGAAAGAAGUUUGAAAGAUUUAUCGGCAAAGGAUGGACCCGCGUUGGAUUAGCUAGUUGGUGAGAUAACAGCCCACCAAGGCAACGAUCCAUAGCCGGCCUGAGAGGGUGAACGGCCACACUGGGACUGAGACACGGCCCAGACUCCUACGGGAGGCAGCAGUGGGGAAUAUUGCACAAUGGGCGAAGGCCUGAUGCAGCGACGCCGCGUGAAGGAUGAAGGUCUUCGGAUUGUAAACUUCUAUCAGCAGGGAAGAAAGGGCUUAUAGCCUAUGACGGUACCUGACUAAGAAGCCCCGGCUAACUACGUGCCAGCAGCCGCGGUAAU
rnacentral:rRNA from 1 species